AUAUCCAAUGCGGCUACUACUAAAUUGAAAUAAUCAGAUCAAGAACAUGAGAAUGCCCAAAAAAGAACUGAUCUAGACACAUCAUGGAAUGAUAUUAUAACGAUUACUUUAAAUAUUUGGAUAAUUAAAUAGACCAUUCAUAAUAACAACAUCACGUAAUAAUCGACUUUGACUAUUAAAUAAUGCAUGAAGUCAUUGAACAAACUUUAUUUUGAUUCACAAAUAAACUUAUAUAAAAAAAAAAGAUUAUGGAGUAAGAAUCUGUACGAAAAAUUAAAUCGAGUAUGAAAGUAAGAAUGUCGUCAUUGAAAGCUUGAAUGGAACCCGAUCUCAAACUCUAAUUCUUUUUUCUUCUUUUUGUUUUCUACUCCCCUCCGUUCUUUUAUUUUUUUUUCUUUGAUUCGUUUCUAUCUUUACUAAUCUCACUUCUCAACUUUGGUUGUUUUUCAUUUUUUUUCUUUCUCUGUGUUGUUGUCUUUUUUUUUUUCACAAAAUGUUUUUUUUUUUUUU
rnacentral:lncRNA from 1 species